rnacentral:rRNA from 1 species
UACGAAGGGGGCUAGCGUUGCUCGGAAUCACUGGGCGUAAAGCGCACGUAGGCGGUUUGCUAAGUCAGGGGUGAAAUCCUGGAGCUCAACUCCAGAACUGCCUUUGAUACUGGCAACCUUGAGUCCGGGAGAGGUGAGUGGAACUGCGAGUGUAGAGGUGAAAUUCGUAGAUAUCUGGAGGAACACCGGUGGCGAAGGCGGCAUCCUGGACCGGCAUUGACGCUGAGGCGCGAAAGCCAGGGGAGCAAACGGG